GUUAGCUUUUUCCAGCAAUCACAACACCAAGUUUCUAUUCAUCAGCCACAAUCGACCCUUUGUUAUCAUUAUUGUUCCUUUAUGUGAUAUGAGCGAGAAGGUUCUUGUCUCCAAUUCUGCUGUGUUUCCAGCAGCGUGAAUCAAAACCCACUAGUGAAGAGAUGAGCAUGCCAUCAUCUCAGCUCCAGGCAUUCCCAUAAAGUCAACUGCUCUACCAAAAGUGUCGUCCCGGAAGUAAAAGUGCAACUAAGGACCGUUGUUUGAUCCGGCUAAAGGCAACGAAGCAGAAAGUGUGGGUCAAAAAGUAAUGAGAUGCACGGGCUAAUCAGCAGCAGCGAUUUCUAGAGUCAGAAUUUGCCUUAGACCAAGGAUAUGGGACAAAUGGCAUGUUCUGUUAAAGUUUAUUUUUGGAAUAAGAGCAUCAAUAAUACA